GAAAUAAGGUAUUCAGAGAUAGGCUUCUAACUUUUUCUCUUAGCAGUGAAAAUCUGUUAUUAUUUCU
rnacentral:tRNA from 1 species